rnacentral:rRNA from 1 species
GACGAACGCUGGCGGCGUGCCUAAUACAUGCAAGUAGAACGCUGAAGGAGGAGCUUGCGUCUCUGGAUGAGUUGCGAACGGGUGAGUAACGCGUAGGUAACCUGCCUGGUAGCGGGGGAUAACUAUUGGAAACGAUAGCUAAUACCGCAUAAGAGUAGAUGUUGCAUGACAUUUGCUUAAAAGGUGCAAUUGCAUCACUACCAGAUGGACCUGCGUUGUAUUAGCUAGUUGGUGAGGUAACGGCUCACCAAGGCGACGAUACAUAGCCGACCUGAGAGGGUGAUCGGCCACACUGGGACUGAGACACGGCCCAGACUCCUACGGGAGGCAGCAGUAGGGAAUCUUCGGCAAUGGACGGAAGUCUGACCGAGCAACGCCGCGUGAGUGAAGAAGGUUUUCGGAUCGUAAAGCUCUGUUGUAAGAGAAGAACGAGUGUGAGAGUGGAAAGUUCACACUGUGACGGUAGCUUACCAGAAAGGGACGGCUAACUACGUG